AGAGUUUGAUCCUGGAUCAGGAUGAACGCUAGCUACAGGCUUAACACAUGCAAGUCGAGGGGCAGCAGAUCGAAAGCUUGCUUUUGAUGCUGGCGACCGGCGCACGGGUGAGUAACGCGUAUCCAACCUUCCCUAUAGUAGAGAAUAGCCCGGCGAAAGUCGGAUUAAUGCUCUAUGUUGUAUUUAGAAGACAUCUGAAGAAUACCAAAGGUUUACCGCUAUAGGAUGGGGAUGCGUCUGAUUAGGUAGUAGGCGGGGUAACGGCCCACCUAGCCGACGAUCAGUAGGGGUUCUGAGAGGAAGGUCCCCCACAUUGGAACUGAGACACGGUCCAAACUCCUACGGGAGGCAGCAGUGAGGAAUAUUGGUCAAUGGACGGAAGUCUGAACCAGCCAAGUAGCGUGCAGGAUGACGGCCCUAUGGGUUGUAAACUGCUUUUAUAUAGGGAUAAAGUCGGGGACGUGUCCCCGUUUGUAGGUACUAUAUGAAUAAGGACCGGCUAAUUCCGUGCCAGCAGCCGCGGUAAUACGGAAGGUCCAGGCGUUAUCCGGAUUUAUUGGGUUUAAAGGGAGCGCACGCUGAUGAUUAAGCGUGACGUGAAAUGUAGCCGCUCAACGGCUGAACUGCGUCGCGAACUGGUUAUCUUGAGUGAGUUCGAUGUUGGCGGAAUUUCGUGGUGUAGCGGUGAAAUGCUUAGAUAUCACGAAGAACUCCGAUUGCGAAGGCAGCCAACAAGGCCUUUACUGACGCUAAAGCUCGAAGGUGCGGGUAUCGAACAGGAUUAGAUACCCUGGUAGUCCGC
rnacentral:rRNA from 1 species